rnacentral:lncRNA from 1 species
CCGUCCACUCAUCAUGCGUCGAUCGAUGCAAGUGAUGAUCAAAGGAGCACAUGUCUCUAAAAGACUGAGAGUGUUAACAGGGUAUUGCUACCUCUGUUAAUAAUCCAGAAAGAGUUCAGUUCCCUAAGCAUUGGUACACGAGAUUUCGAUGCAGCGUCGAAGGUUGAGGAGAUUUUAUGGCGCUAGGACCCAAAUAAAAUGGAUGUAAAAAAUACCACUGCCCUUGCCAUCAUCUGUCUACACUUAUUACAAUCUUGCACUUAUCUUCAGUUGUUAUACUGUUCAAUGUGCAUGCUUCCCUUUCAAAUCUAAUAGCGUUGGGUUUGAUUAAUUACAGCAACAUUAUUGAGGGCAGCAGGAAAACAAGAUAAUCUGGGCACCAGUUCGACCAAGUCCCUGUCACCAUGUGUAGUGUUGUCAAGGAAUUUGAAUGGCUCGACUUCAUUUCUGUGCAUCUUGCAAUAUUCAGAUUGAAGCACAAGUAGAAGUCUAUUUCUCAUAGAACCACAUCUUAUGCAUACUCUCGAUGUCCAGGUGGUGAAUCCAGGAUUUAGGGCAUCGUGGGCAUCGAGUUCAAAGGAGCUGUCAGUGUUGAUCAUGAUCAGAUUAACGUAAGUUUGAUACAAGAUCCAAGUACUGACCUGCAACCGCACCUCAGUUGAUAGAGCAACUUUUGCAUUUGUAACAAAACAGAGACAUUCAUUUGCUUUGCAAAUAUAAAGGCACCAGAACAAGGGAGUGGCAGCACUUUGUGGAAUUUCUAUUAUAUAUUUCUAUUAUUAUACAAAUCAUACUAUUCAACACUUCUCUUCCACUAGUGGGACUUAGUUUUCUAUUGAAAGAAGGUCUAAUAUAUUUCUAAAAACUAUAAACUUAUCUUUAGGAAGAGGUUUUGUAAAGAUGAUUGUUGCAUCUGCUUUAUGUGACAAUACUCCAAUCUAAUCUAUCAUUUCUCUAUACAUUGCUUGAUGAAAUGAUGUUUUUUAUUCCAAUGCUUUGUACAACUAUAGUGUGUUGGAU